rnacentral:tRNA from 1 species
GUGGGUAUAGCUCAGUGGUAGGGCACAUGUUGAGUGUGCAUGAGGUCAUGGGUUCAAUCCCCAGUGCCUCCA